UGGGGAAUUUUGGACAAUGGGCGAAAGCCUGAUCCAGCAAUGCCGCGUGUGUGAAGAAGGCCUUCGGGUUGUAAAGCACUUUUGUCCGGAAAGAAAUCCUUGGCUCUAAUACAGUCGGGGGAUGACGGUACCGGAAGAAUAAGCACCGGCUAACUACGUGCCAGCAGCCGCGGUAAUACGUAGGGUGCAAGCGUUAAUCGGAAUUACUGGGCGUAAAGCGUGCGCAGGGCGGUUUGCUAAGACCGAUGUGAAAUCCCCGGGCUCAACCUGGGAACUGCAUUGGUGACUGGCAGGCUAGAGUAUGGCAGAGGGGGGUAGAAUUCCACGUGUAGCAGUGAAAUGCGUAGAGAUGUGGAGGAAUACCGAUGGCGAAGGCAGCCCCCUGGGCCAAAUACUGACGCUCAUGCACGAAAGCGUGGGGGAGCAAACAGGAUUAGAUACCCUGGUAGUCCACGCCCUAAACGAUGUCAACUAGUUGUUGGGGAUUCAUUUCCUUAGUAACGUAGCUAACGCGUGAAGUUGACCGCCUGGGGAG
rnacentral:rRNA from 1 species